CCCUUAGAUGUUCUGGGCCGCACGCGCGCUACACUGAUGCAUUCAACGAGUCUAAAACCUGCUCUGAUAGGGGUGGGUAAUCUUUUGAAUGUGCAUCGUGAUUGGGAUAGAUGAUUGCAAUUUUUCAUCUUCAACGAGGAAUGCCUAGUAAACGCAAGUCAUCAGCUUGCAUUGAUUACGUCCCUGCCCUUUGUACACACCGCCCGUCGCUCCUACCGAUUGAAUGAUCCGAUGAAUAUCAUGGAUUGAGGAUGCAAGCAGGUUCGCCUGUCUUCAUCUUCGAGAAGUGAAGUAAAUCUUAUCAUUUAGAGGAAAGAGAAGUCGUAACA
rnacentral:rRNA from 1 species